GAAAUGCGAUAAGUAGUGUGAAUUGCAGAAUUCAGUGAAUCAUCGAAUCUUUGAACGCACAUUGCGCCCCUUGGUAUUCCAUGGGGCAUGCCUGUUCGAGCGUCAUCUACACCCUCAAGCUCUGCUUGGUGUUGGGCAUCUUUGUCCCGCCUCCGCGCGCGGACUCGCCCCAAAUUCAUUGGCAGCGGUCCUUGCCUCCUCUCGCGCAGCACAUUGCGCUUCUCGAGGUGUUGCGGCCCGCGUCCAGAAAGCAAUCGUUACCGUCUUUGACCUCGGAUCAGGUAGGGAUACCCGCUGAACUUAAGC
rnacentral:misc_RNA from 1 species